ACGGGAGGCAGCAGUGAGGAAUAUUGGUCAAUGGGCGAGAGCCUGAACCAGCCAAGUCGCGUGAAGGAUGAAGGUUCUAUGGAUUGUAAACUUCUUUUAUUCGAGGGUAAAGUGAGAGAUGCGUCUCUUAUUGCAAGUAUCGAAUGAAUAAGCAUCGGCUAACUCCGUGCCAGCAGCCGCGGUAAUACGGAGGAUCCGAGCGUUAUCCGGAUUUAUUGGGUUUAAAGGGAGCGUAGGCGGGAUGUCAAGUCAGCUGUGAAAUGUAGUCGCUCAACGUCUGCACUGCAGUUGAAACUGGUGUUCUUGAGUGCGUAAGAGGCAGGUGGAAUUCGUCGUGUAGCGGUGAAAUGCAUAGAUAUGACGAAGAACUCCGAUUGCGAAGGCAGCCUGCUGGGCCGCUACUGACGCUGAAGCUCGAAGGUGCGGGUAUCAAACAGGAUUAGAUACCCUGGUA
rnacentral:rRNA from 1 species